AACGAACGCUGGCGGCAGGCCUAACACAUGCAAGUCGAGCGCGCCUUCGGGUGAGCGGCGGACGGGUGAGUAACGCGUGGGAAUAUGCCCUUCUCUACGGAAUAGUCCUGGGAAACUGGGGGUAAUACCGUAUACGCCCUUUGGGGGAAAGAUUUAUCGGGGAAGGAUUAGCCCGCGUUGGAUUAGGUAGUUGGUGGGGUAAUGGCCUACCAAGCCGACGAUCCAUAGCUGGUUUGAGAGGAUGAUCAGCCACACUGGGACUGAGACACGGCCCCGACUCCCACGGGAGGCAGCAGUGGGGAAUCUUAGACCAUGGGGGCAACCCUGAACUAGCCAUGCCGCGUGAGUGAUGAAGGCCUUAGGGUUGUAAAGCUCCUUCAGCUGGGAAGAUAAUGACGGUACCAGCAGAAGAAGCCCCGGCUAACUCCGU
rnacentral:rRNA from 1 species